UCACCCCACCCCCACCCCUCACAGAGCCCAGGUGUCUCAUCCUAGCAGGAACUACUCUUUCUUACCCCGCCUGUCAUUAUCCACACCCUCGGGGUAUAUGCCCCUCCCACAGCCUGUCUUGUUCUGUUUUGGCGCUCCACACUAUGGUAAUGUGACAUGUUAACAGGCGUACUUAUCUGGUGGAAUUUAUUGUAGUCCCACAUGAGAUAUUAAGUGGCUGUUGUGUGCAGUGUUUACCCUCACUGUCAGGAUGACUAGUGCUUUGCCCUGGCAGACAGGGCCCUGCCCUUCCCAGGCUGCCUAAUUGGAGCUGCAACAACCAGGAGCUGUGACAGGGUUCAGCACCCCAUGUACAACAUGCCAGCUCCCAUGGUGCACGCUUUAUAAAAUGCUCCUUAAUUCAGGGACAGAAUAUCAUUAACUUUGUAAGUGGAUGAAUACAGUGGACAACCAAUUUAAUUAACUUCUAAUGUCGGAUGUUGGAUGGGAGAUGGAAUGAAAUUAUGUGUGCAUCUCUCGGGCCAACGGCCAUCCUGGAUGGGACUUGGUGCUGGGGGUCAGGGGUGGGGAGGGAGCAGCUUUUUGCCAUCAUCUCCUGUCCAGCCCUAGAAGCCGAAGUGCAUCAGCUCUCAGUUUGUGUGGGUUAUAGAGGAGGACACCCUGUGACAGCGACAUGCUAAAUGCUGCCUUUCCCACGUGCUCCCACCCCAAGUAAUGCUAGGGAGACAGGCGGUAAUGCUGCCUCAUCCAAUUAGAUUGGCUGCUCCUGAGUUUAUUAUACAGGGAAGGAUCAAUAAAGCUCUACAUUGAUUGAAACGAAAGCUUUGUUUCAUUUAUUAUUGUUUAUAAUCUAAUGAAUGUUACAAUAACUUUGCUCUGAUUUAUUACUCAAUCUGUUAAAUUGUUUUAAAGCCAGUACACUCAGGUCUUACCUUUGGGGUAUGGUCAAAAAUGUACUUUUUGUGAACACCCUCAGCUUCUCAGAAGCUGUGCUUCAGGUCACUUUUGAGACUUUAGCAGACAGUUGAGUAUAGGAGGCAAAGCUGCUCAGGCACUGGACCCCAAGGGCACUGUGCUGAUGGACUUCCUCCAGGAACUAAUCUGUUCUGGGGGACUUGUCACAUUCCUGCCCUCAAUAAGCUUCCCCCAGUAAGGAGACAAGUCUAUAGAUCAGCAGGAAGUCGAGGUAUGCAGCAUUUCAAAGGAAUAACUAGGUGCUGGGCUGGGCUGUGCUGCUAGGAGGAUAGUGUUUCCAUGGAGACUUGGAAUAGCAGGGGGCUCCUGUGAGAAUCACCUGGAAGAGGAGAAAGAAGGCAUGUCAUGACCCCAAUGGCAGAGACCUUGGCUAGCCCAUGCUUCAUGGCCAGCAGUGCUAGAGCCCUGUGAGUGACAGGUAUGCUGAUUUGUGUGAGCGCAUAGGGCAGAGGGUAUGUACUUAGAGAAGACUGGCAGACAACUGGCUGCAGAGGGACCUACAGGGUCAAUAGCAGUGACAGAGCAGCACCCAUUUGGAGCUGAUGGCUUAGCAUUUACAGAGAAGGGAAAUUAGAGAUAGACAGUGGGUGUAUGGUCUGUCCAACCUGUAGAUGAAGUGGAAAUAGGUGUUGGGGAGACAAGAGGCAAGCAGGGAAGCUGGACGAGUCAGGGAAGACCGUACUUUCCAGGGCAGCAAGAGGAGAGGAGGGAUAGCUACAUCCAGAUUGGAGAGAUUCAGGUUCUGAAAGGGGGGACUGUACAGCCACCAGAGGACCUCCAAGAAAGGGCCAGUGUAAUGCAUGUGGCCUUACCAACCAAGGAUGGGGUAAGGCCACCCUAGGAGGAAGAAGAGGAGGGGGAGGAGGAGGAGGAGGAAACCUCAGAGAAGACAAUGUGAUACCUCUUUAGUUUUAGUUUUAGUUGUACAAUAUGGAAAUGACAAUGCCCCAGCCUCUAUCAGGGGUUGAUCCUGAGAAACUGUGUGCCCUUAAUGACAGCAUAGUGGGGUGAGGCCACCUCCUUCCCUUGGGGUGAGGGCAUCUGCCAGGUACAGGGGAGUUAUAUGUGUGUAGUCUACUCCUGGGGAGGAGUAGGUGAGGUAAAGUUGGUUCAGCCUACUCAUGCUGUAUUAUUCUGUCAAUUCUAAUUUCAAAUACCUAAUUAUAUCUAAUUUGGAUCUCUGGUUGCAGGCCUAAAGGUUACUUUAUUAUUAUAUCUUACAAAGCCUUUUCUGCUCAGAGAUUGAUUUUAUUUAAAAAAGCAAAACCCUGGAGCUGGAGACACUUUAUCCCUUAUACAAUACAAUAUUCUGUAUUGCCCUUAGUGAACACAGUUGGCUUGUGCAGAGAGGUCCCUGGUCUUUCUGCUAUAGCCUCAUUGUCCUUUGCUCAUCUAUUCGGGCAGUGGUCACAGCGCUGGCACCUGAGAAUCUUCCGCAGAGGCACACUGAGUGCUUUCAGUGCUGUGCCCACAGUGCUGUGGACGCUGCCCAUCAUUUUCACAGGGCAUCUGGCCACAGGUGAAGCAGGCUGUUCCCAUAUUAGGAUCACGUGUAGGAGAUGCUUGUGUGAUCUCCUCAUUCAUAGGAUCUGCAAGACAAAUGGCACCGUUGAGUAUCUCUGUUGAUGGGUCCAUAUGGCUUGGGUUUAAGACUAAGCCAUUCCCUGGAAGAGCUGGAAGAGCCGGCCACACACAGGAGCCUAGGUUAAUGGUGUGCUAUUUGCUGCUGACAUCCCAGCAGAAAUGAUAAAUUGCCCAAACCAAUUUGUUUGUCACAUUUGUUUGAGAACGCACAGUGAUGGAGGUGUUCCCAAUGAAUAGCUUAAUGUCUCUUCUGUGUGGGCUCCUACUCUAGACCAGGAGACUCCCAGGUUUGUCGGUGGCCAUAUCAGGAGUACAGCAAAGCACAUUGCUUCCUUGCUCUGCAUUAAACUUGGAAAUAGUAGUUGGCCAUUGUUGUUCUGACUCUCCUGUGUCUGCAAGCCCCACCUACCACUGUUACCUUCAGCGAAUGGAGAUAGGUGGUUGGCUGCUCUGACUCUCCUGUGUCUGCAAGCCCCACCUACCACUGUUACAUUCAGCGAAUGGAGAUAGGUGGUUGGCUGCACUCUCCACCAGACUGGAGAGUCCAUGAAUUGCUGCACUCCUGAGGCUAGAGUGUACCUGGUUGGCCGCGCUCCCCCUGAGGUUGUGUGUCUGUGGAUGGCUGCACUCCCCUUGAAAGGUGUGCUUGACAACACUGCCAGUGUGGCUGAUGGGGGCUAGCAAGUAGGUCCACUUGACCAACUAGAUCUCUUGUACACACUCCCUGUCAUCUAGCCACUUAGCUGGGACUCAGAGUGGGAGCCUGGACUAUGGCCAACCUUAGCAUCCCAACACUGAGCUUGUCAGCAGUUCUUAGUUUGCUGCCCUAGCCUUUGGGGAUAUCAGGGAUCUUGCCCAACACUCAUAGCAGUGGCAGAAACACAGUAGAGGGUGGCUGCUGCUCAUUAGCAGAUAAUUAAUAAGCACCAGUGACAGGUUUGUAAGUAUGUAAGUGUAUUUUAAUUGUUUAUAGCAGAAGAGGCAAGGAGUCAGUAUUCCAAGAUGUGAAAGGCAUACUAUCAACAUGCUCUAUGUCCAGGGGCCUUACCAGAUUAUACCACCACACAGACCCUGGGCCCAGUGAUGGAUUGAGUCCUGGCUGUAUGGAUACAGUGGUGAGAGCCCUGGAAACUUGGGUUGAACUUUGACUUCUAAUGUGUAUUCAUUAGAGCUAAUAGUGGACAUUCUGAUUCUAAGAACUGCACUUUUGGUUGUAUUCAUUGCAGUUAGUGUCCAUUUUAUCAUAAACUCAUACUUCAUUACACUCUCUAAUCUCUCUUGACCUAGGCAGAUAGAGAGGCAUCCUCCACAGGGCUGUGUAUCAUGUGGGCCUGGAGCAGGUGUUAGGUUCAUGCUAGGCUCAGGCCUCCAAUUUUCUCUUCUGGCCCAUAGAGGAGACUCAGUCUCUGCAUCUAUAUGAACCAUGGUCUUUCUACUGAUGCAGCCUCAAGAAGGUAAACUGGAGGCUGGCUCCUUCCAGGUUCUGCUGUGAAGGUGUCUCACUUACACGUGUAUGAGCAGAGGAACACGUGACUCAGUGGAUCUGAUUGGACCAUCCACAGAGCAGAGGCAUCUUCCUGCCACAGUACAAAUGGGAACAGAAGAUGUGAACCAGCAGAGCCCUGGAGUCUUCUGGAGACAAGAGUUGGUGUGAUGAACAGAGCACCUUGUGAAGGGAUGCCUGGCAGGAUGUGGGUGGACAGGAGGAGGAGUGAAGGGAAGGACCACAGGACUUCAGAGGACCCUGGAUCCUGGGACUGAAAGCACAGAGUGAGCUGUGUAGGAAAGAGGGCUGGGGGAUGAGUAAUAGGUCUCUGGGGAUUGAGGAGGAUAUAAGAUGCUAUAAAGGAAGAGUGGGAUGAAGCCCUGCCCCAGCCCACUGUGGAGUGGCCAUUGUCACUUCAGGAAGCAGUAGACUUCCACGUACUGGCUUACCAGCUUCAUGGUGAUGUCAUAUCAACAAGCCCUCACACUGGGCAGCUCAAAUGAAAGACUUGACUGGAGUUUUCUGCACUGGUAAUCAGAGUUUUGUUAAGUUGUAGUGGCCAGGGGAAAAGCUUUACACCAAGCAGUAUUACUUUACCUUUAAAAGUCCAAAAAAGCCUUCUGUGCUGCUAGCAGACAUGGUCUUGGCCUCCUACUUUGCUGUCCUUGGGCUCUGAUGGCAUAUAUAGACCAGGCUAUUCCUAGGUGGAUGCUGAGAAAGAAGGACCAAACCCACCCUUGUGUGGACAUUGGGCUGGGUGACCAGAUCUGUCUCCAUGUAGGCACUGAGUUGGGGAACUGAACCUUACUGUGUGAGUACUUUAGUUGGGGGUCCCAGACUUUUCCUUUGGGGACAUUUGUGGUGGGAGUUGACUAACUUCUAUACUCUAUACUAUAUUCUGUAUUUCAGACUCUAUUUCUCAUAAUAGUAAACUCAUCUGUGGCUGUGCUGUGGUCAUAGAUGGUAGUGUUAAGCUGUAGAAUCAGCUGAGGGAUCUGUUAAGCUAUGGGGAGAUGAGCCUGGAUCUCUUGGGGAUAUCAUGAAAAUGUCUACAGCCUGGAAUGUGGCAGCUUGGGACAGCAAUGCUGUGAGGAGACUCGCGAGCUGUCUGCUUGGUGUUUGGACAGUGCUGGCCCUAGCUGCCUAGUUCACCUCUGCACUGUGCUGGGUGCCCACCUGCAGCCCCCUCUGCCUCAGUGCUGGGAUGAGUGAGUUUGUCUCCUCUGCUGUCCUUGCAGAAGCUUCUUUUGUGGCUGGGAACCUCACAUAGUAGAGAACCCACACUGCCCUGACUCUGUGUUUGUCUUUCCUCCUACAGGCACUAGGAAGCUUUUAUUUUCUUCAUGAAUCCUUAAAAAACAUCUACCAGUUUGACUUUAAAGCUAAGAAGUAUAAAAAAGUCACUGGCAAGGAGAUCUAUUCGGACACUUUGGAGAGCACACCCAUGCUGGAGAAGGAGAAGUUCCCACAGGACUACUUUCCCGAGUGCAAAUGGUCAAGAAAAGGCUUCAUCAGGACGCGGUGGUGCAUUGCUGACUGUGCCUUCGACUUGGUGAACAUCCAUCUUUUUCAUGAUGCAUCCAACUUAGUGGCCUGGGAGACAAGCCCCUCUGUGUACUCGGGUGUCAGGCACAAGGCUCUGGGCUAUGUGCUCGACAGGUAAGUGCUGGACCCUAGCCACUCCUCAGCAUGACUGUGGCUACUCUGAGGCUCUUCAUGGUUUGUGUUUUCCUGUUUGACAGUGGCCCUUGGGAAUUUCACCCUGAGAAGGGUGUAAAUCCCAAACAGCACCCUCUGGAGGAGCAGCCUAUGAGUCGACAGCUUACCAGAAGUUCUAGAAUAUUCUCUGUUUCUUUUAAGAGAAACAGCUCAUAUUCACUUAGCUAGAGUACCCAUCUUUGUGGUGAUUUAUUGGAGCUGUAACUGAAGGUCUCAUGCCUUUUGGCUUGAGGAGGCAAUGCUGUAGUUCACUCUAGGGUGACUGAGGAUAGGUGUUUGUGUUUCUCUUUCCUUCUCUGUUCUAUUGGUGGGGGAGUAGGGGAGACGCAGAUACAUAGUAUGGUAUCACAGAAUCACCACAACUGUGGGACACCUCUGGUGCUCUGCUAGCCACAGGCAGCAUCCUUCCCACAGAUCUGUCCCUGUUCAGAGUGUCUGGGGUGUAGAGCUUGACUCAAUUCAAGGAAGCUCUGCUGCCCAGCUCAUCAUGUGUUACCUUCUUCCUGCCUUUGUCUUGUUCC
rnacentral:sRNA from 1 species